GUUUAACCUCACUAAUACACAGAUGGAGCACGCCACUUCACUUCCGCGUGAGAGAGAAAAACGGGAAAAAAGAGAGAGGAAAAACCGUCGUUGAAGCUCUUUCCGGCCGCGUUUCUCCUGAAAAAACCAUUGGUCAGGUUCUAUUGUGAUGCUUGGAAAGAGUGAAGCUUCAGCUUUCAUGUCUGACGAAGCUGAUGAGCGAUCCAACUGAUGACGAGCACCCAGUCCACCUUCGGUGCUUCAAGCAGAACUUUUAAUUCCGCCACACCACUUAACGGAUUAAGUGGUAGGAUUUGUGUCAGUCCAACUGACCGGCACCAACGAAAGCUUUCCUUGGAUAUCCUUGAAUCUUGACUUUUGACUUUGACUUUUGGAUCCAAACCACCGAGGAACAUUCCCAUUUGGACAUUUAUUUAUUUUAUUUUAUUUCUUAGUAUAUGGGCCCAAGGUUGUAAUGUUAUUGUGUUUUGUAUUGUUAAGAUCUUUGUGGAACUAAAGAGUUUCAAAUCAUUCUGCCUCUGUGUCCAGUGGUUGUUGUUUCACUCGG